rnacentral:snoRNA from 1 species
GUGCCCUGUUAAGGUUGACGCAGUGCCUUGAGAGGCUAACACAGAAGGGUAAAGGAAAUCUCCAUAAAACCCAGAGAAGAGCUUGUAAAACUCCUCCCUGGAUCCUGUCUGGAGUCACAGCU